rnacentral:lncRNA from 1 species
UCCCCCUCAAACCAGGCCAGUUCUCUGCGGCUGGGCAUGGCCCAGAAGCGUCACCUGACGUUUAAUGCUACUGUCCCUUUGGUCCAUGUUGAUGAUAGUGUGUGUGGGAUUGCCAGAGCCUGCUCUCCGUGGACUCAGGGCCCUCCACCUCAUCGGGAGCCUCCCAGGCACUCAGCGUCUCCUGGCCUAGGGCCCUCGCCUCAGAGUGGCAGCUGUCUAGCCCUUUGUUCACACAAAAAUGCGACCACUACUCUACGGCAGAGCUUCCUCCAGCCAGGGCUUUAGAGUCUCCUUCCCUUACUUGUUUGCAAUAAAAAUUAAAACUCUUUAACGUGCAUGUUGCACUUAACAUUACUAACCACUGCGUUAGAGACGAUACUGCUACCUUUUUGAAAAUCAACACCCACAUUAGAGACGACACUGCUACCUUUUUGGAAAUCAACACCCACGUGAGAAAAGGGGCAUUGAGACUCUAAAGCAGUAGACAAUCCCCAGAUACCAUCUGUAGAGUUGGAACUGCAUUAUUUUAAAGUUUUAUAUGCAUAUAUUUUAGGGCUGUAGACUUACUUUCCUAUUU